GAUGCACGCUGGCGGCGUGCCUAAUACAUGCAAGUCGAGCGAACGGACGAGAAGCUUGCUUCUCUGAUGUUAGCGGCGGACGGGUGAGUAACACGUGGAUAACCUACCUAUAAGACUGGGAUAACUUCGGGAAACCGGAGCUAAUACCGGAUAAUAUUUUGAACCGCAUGGUUCAACAGUGAAAGACGGUCUUGCUGUCACUUAUAGAUGGAUCCGCGCUGCAUUAGCUAGUUGGUAAGGUAACGGCUUACCAAGGCAACGAUGCAUAGCCGACCUGAGAGGGUGAUCGGCCACACUGGAACUGAGACACGGUCCAGACUCCUACGGGAGGCAGCAGUAGGGAAUCUUCCGCAAUGGGCGAAAGCCUGACGGAGCAACGCCGCGUGAGUGAUGAAGGUCUUCGGAUCGUAAAACUCUGUUAUUAGGGAAGAACAUAUGUGUAAGUAACUGUGCACAUCUUGACGGUACCUAAUCAGAAAGCCACGGCUAACUACGUG
rnacentral:rRNA from 1 species